CAAGACUGUGGGACAUCAGCUUGCAGUCAAGGUAACUUUAUUAAUACCCAAAGGUAGAUUUGGCUUACAGUGGGAGUUGAGUGGGUCAGCCUCCUUUUACAUACACACACACACACACACACACACACACACACACACACACACACACACAAUCAGCAGCAGACUGUAGGAUGUAACGUGACAAAGGAGACAUCAUUGCUCAUUACUAAUAAAAUACAGUAAAUCAAUAGUUCCACAGACAAAUUCAUAAAUUAAUAAAAAUAAAUAAGGCAGCAGACCUGUAUUGCUACUACUUAUUUAAUAUACGUAUAGCAGCUGGGACAAAGCUGUUUCUGUAUCGCUUAGUUUUACAGGGUGGUACUUUAUACCUGCGUCCCG